CCCUAACCCUCUUUCCUUCGUCCUCCGACGCCGAUACUCUCUUCUUCCCCAAAAGUCACCGACGACCGGCGAUUCUCCUCUCUUCCCCUCUCGGCGUCGCCGGCGCAGGGCAUUCACCAGAGCAGCUGCCUGAGGAGGGAAGCUACAACCCCUUUUCCUCUCUCUCUCGGCUUCUCUCAUGCAAGCGACCCGACGCCGACGGAGGCGAUUCUGCUCCGAUUAACUCGGUCUCAUCGCAUCACUCGAGCGUCGUCGGACCGUCGUCGGAUUCUUGAAGGUGUUGAUGCUAUCCAAGCCUUUUCCAGUGGAGAGAUCUCUUGAUUGGCCGAUUCUUGCGUGCGUCCAAGGAGAUCCGAACUAGGGCAUGUGGAGAUGCUAUCCAAGCCUUUUCCAGUGGUGAGAUCUCUUGAUUUGCCGAUUCUUGCAUGCGUCCAAGGAGAUCCGAACUAGGGCAUGGUGAGAAGCUUGAUUCGCGACCCCAGCUCCUCAAUUUGUUCCUCCUCAUCAACUUGUUAUCCGGAGGGUGGUCUGUUGCUUCACAAUUGGUGAACUGGAACAUGCGACAUCGUUUGGAGGUGAAUGAUUCGAGGCUAGGGGAAGUUUCGGAUCAACCUAGUGAUGGACCUCCCCUGAGCAAAGCUUCAUCUUCUUCAAUUCUUGCAACUAUUAAGGUUCCGGUGUAGAGGUGGAGGCCAAUUUGAGGUAAGUAAGACUCUGUAUUUUGGGGUUUAGCAGACUAAUUGCUCUACAGCUAGGUUGUGGAUUGAUUUUGGGAGGAAUUAGUGUGGGGGCUUCUUGGGUAGCUGCUGGCAGAGGUCUUGUUGGGCUGUGAGAUUGGAUGCUGCUACAUCUUAAGGACCUUGAUAUGGGACGGUUAUCACGACGUGAGAUUUAUAUUGGACACGAUCUACAGAUAAAGGCGGGUA